rnacentral:rRNA from 1 species
AGAGUUUGAUUCUGGCUCAGAACGAACGCUGGCAGCGUGGAUUAGGCAUGCAAGUCGAACGUGAAGCCAAUGAACAAUCUUUCGGGAGAGUGAUUUGGUGGAAAGUGGCGAAAGGGUGAGGAACACGUGGGCAAUCUACCCUCGAGUUUGGGAUAACCAUUGGAAACGAUGGCUAAUACCGGAUGUGGUCGUCCGUCGCAUGGCGGAAUGAUCAAAGGCGGGGAUCCUUCGGGACCUGUCGCUUGAGGAGGAGCCCGCGCCCCAUCAGCUUGUUGGUAAGGUAACGGCUUACCAAGGCUUACGGGUAGCUGGUCUGAGAGGAUGGUCAGCCACACUGGGACUGAGACACUGCCCAGACUCCUACGGGAGGCUGCAGUCGAGAAUCGUUUACAAUGCGCGAAAGCGUGAUAAUGCGACGCUGCGUGGAGGAUGACGGCCCUUGGGUUGUAAACUCCUGUCAUUUGGGAAAAAUGGCCUUUAUGUUAAUAGCAUUGAGGUUUGAUGGUACCAAAAGAGGAAGCCACGGCUAACUCUGUGCCAGCAGCCGCGGUGAUACAGAGGUGGCGAGCGUUGUUCGGAUUUACUGGGCGUAAAGGGUGCGUAGGUGGUAUUGUAUGUCGGAUGUGAAAGCCCAUGGCCCAACCAUGGAACUGCAUUCGAAACUGCGAAACUAGAGUACAGGAGGGGAGAGCGGAAUUCUUGGUGUAGCGGUGAAAUGCGUUGAUAUCAAGAAGAACACCGGUGGCGAAGGCGGCUCUCUGGAAUGUUACUGACACUGAGGCACGAAAGCUGGGGGAGCAAACAGGAUUAGAUACCCUGGUAGUCCCAGCCGUAAACGGUGUGCACUUGGUGUAGAGGGUAUUGACCCCCUCUGUGCCGGAGCUAACGCGUUAAGUGCACCACCUGGGGAGUACGGCCGCAAGGCUAAAACUCAAAGAAAUUGACGGGGGCCCGCACAAGCGGAGGAGCAUGUGGCUUAAUUCGAUGCAACGCGAAGAACCUUACCAGGGCUUGACAUGGGGACCCUUCGGGGGUGGUAGCGAAAGUUACCUUUACCAUCACAGGUGCUGCAUGGCUGUCGUCAGUUCGUGCCGUGAGGUGUUGGGUUAAGUCCCGCAACGAACGCAACCCUUGUGUCUAGUUGCCACCGGAGGUGAUGAGCCUUCGAGCACUCUAGACAGACUGCCCGUACAAGCGGGAGGAAGGUGGGGAUGACGUCAAGUCAGUAUGGCCCUUACGCCCUGGGCUGCACACGUGCUACAAUGGUCGGUACAAAAGGAAGCAAUACCGCGAGGUGGAGCAAAUCCCCAAAACCGGCCCCAGUUCGGAUUGGAGUCUGCAACUCGACUCCAUGAAGUUGGAUUCGCUAGUAACGGCGUAUCAGCUACGACGCCGUGAAUACGUUCCCGGGCCUUGUACACACCGCCCGUCACAUCAUGAAAGUCGUCUGCACCCGAAGUCGUUGCUCCAACCUGCAAAGGAGGAAGACGCCGAAGGUGUGGGUGAUGAUUGGGAUGAAGUCGUAACAAGGUA